rnacentral:lncRNA from 1 species
AUGGGUGCUUCUGGAGGGGUGGGGGUGGAGGAGGGCGGCUGCCGGGUCUUCACGGCAGUUCUGCCCUCACUACCCCCACCAAGGGCGGCCUCGGCCGGCUCUCUGCCACCCCCCACGCCCCUCCCUCCUCUCCGCUGCCUCCGGCUGGUUGGGCUCGCUGUUGCUACCUCCUCGCAGAUGCAACGAGGAGGAAACCGAGGAUCAGGGAGAGGGAAUGAUGACCAAGAUCACACAGUUCCCGAGUGGCAGAGCCCGGACCAGAAGCCACGUGUCCUGACUCCUACCACUUCUAUUCAUCCUCCCUCGCUUCAGCUACCAGAUAUUGCGUCUCGUUUUCUGGAACAAUUCUUGCAGAGACUGGGGACUUGGCCAGGUUUUCCUGAAGUGCUAGAAACCACUGUCCCAGCAUCCAAAUAUUCUCAGUCGGUGGCGCCCAUGAAAACACAUGCUUCGGUAUCUUGGAGCAGCUGUGUCCGCAGCCCUGGGAAGCUCUGGGACAGCCAGGACCAUCCUCCUCAGCUGGGAUGGAAGGCCCUUCUGUUGAAGCUAGUUCAGCUCCCUGCCCUCCCGUAGGCUGAGCCAGAGCCAGCUGGAUGUUGGAGGGGGGUUAGCUGGAGACAGUAGAGUGGGAGAACGGGCCCUCCCAGUGGCAGGAGGCACAGCAUCUUUUGUGCCACUGAAAAUUCCAUCCAAGUUUCAGCUGACACAGGUGGAGUGGGCGGGCCUCUGUGAUUUGAUGGGUUCUCUGAGGUUCUGGCUGCCUAAAAAUAUCUUCUCUACCCACCUGCCUAUAACACCCUCCCUUCUUAUCGGGCCUAUGAUUCCUGCCAUUAGAGUCUCGAAGGUUUUAGACGACAAAGGAUGGAGCAUGUUUCCCAGCAGGUCACGGUGAAAGCAGGUUUCCUGGGAGUGGAAGGGAGGCCCUUGUGUCUGCUCCUCUUAGCACAAAGAGCUAAUACUGCCAGGAGCUCAGAGAAGACGAGACUGGCCUACUUUAGAGUUUUGGCUCCUACUGAGACGCCAGUCACUCAAUUCAUUCAUGCCAUAUGACCAGGGCUUUGAAGAAAUUAGGCAGCAGGCUUUCACAAAACUAAGGUGAAGAUGCUGCCUCUCCCUUGCAUUCCUAUCUAGGUUUCUUCCCCCGUGGGAACCGGGGUCCAAGUUGGGGAACUUUCCCAUGCGCCUGCUGCAGCCGACCAGAAGCCUUCCGGAGCUCUGCAGGGUGCUCCAAUCAUCGUUGCUCCCCUUUUCUCCUAAAUCCUUUCCCAUUUCCUUUCGUCAUCACUUCCCUGGGACCAAUCCCAGAAAGAAAUGGAAAAUCCUGGCAUGCUCCUGAGAAGUAGAGGGAUGAAAUGGUGAAGAGUAGGGAGGGGCAGGGGGAGAGGUUCAGAACCUUGUUGAUUGAUUUGGUCCAUCCCAUUCGGACAGGUGUGAGCCUCCACUCUGCUCUGUGAGAGGCUGGGGCGAGGGAGAAAGAUGGACAGGGAGGGUCAGAGGGAACGGUUGCUGACAGAAAGGGCCUGGCAGGCCGCAGAGUGAUUAAUGGUCUUGGGCUUGGGGGAACAGACAAGGGCGAUAGGAAGGGAGGGUAGUGUUGAUGGGGUUGGGAGUUGUGCUACGAAUUUAUAAGCUCUGGUGUGAAGGGGAAGCUCUCUGAAUACUUAAGAAGACGCUUGGUGUAGGGCUGAUUGGUUGGGAUCCGUGUGGAUGCCUUGGGUUUGGUCAGAUGAUGCAUGCAUACAUUUACUAGGUGCCCGUGGAGAAGGCAGGAGAACCCAGUUGAAUAAAUGGAUUAAUGUCAGACCGAUUGGCAAGAUGAUCUUAUCUGGGCUAGACACACGCUGGUGGCAGUGGGUGGGGGAGAUGGGGCGUAGGGGAUGGCUUGCUCUGGAAGCAGAUUGUUGAUUGUUGAUGGUCCUGGCGAGACUUUAAUCAGUUGUUGGCUGUAAGAAUAUAAGGAGGAGAGACUUCCAUUGGGAAGAAAAAAAGCGUAUUUAUUCUCUUCAGAGUACACCUUCAGCUGGUGGCUCAGGGCCAAGAACAGCCCCAGGACAUUUCUGGUGUGAGCCCAGGUUCCGGCAGGGGGAGAGCUGCCCUUUGUCCAUGGAGGUCAGCCAGGGGCCAAGCAAGGAAACAGAUUUAAAGGAUGAGCUUGAUAUGGGGCAGGAGUUUUUGACCAUUCUCAGUUUUCACAAUUUCCUUUCAUUAAUCCCAGACUUAGAGCAAGUUCUUCUUAAGAUAUGUAACCUGGUUUCAGUGAUGCUGUCGUGGCUGACACAAGCAGCUGGCACCUGUCCGGGACCCGGACGCAGAGCAGUGAGCAGCGUCCCCACUUCCUUGACGCUGGAGAAGUAGGAAUAGUGGCAGUCACAGGGCCCUUGUACCCAGUAGGAAUGCCAUGGAAGUCAGGGGCCGAGGCAGUGGCUUGCAGAUAAGGCAGAAUGAAAUAACCUCGUAAAAAAAAUGAAACAAAAUGAAACCAGAGAGGGAGACAGACCAUAAGAGACUCAAUCUCAGGAAACAAACUGAGGGUUGCUGGGGUGGAGGAGGUAGGAAGGGUGGGGUGGCUGGGGGAUGGGCACUGGGGAAGGUAUGUGUUGUGGAGAGCACUGGGUGUUGUGUAAGACGGAUGAAUCUCAGACCUAUACACCUGAAACAAAUAAUACAUUAUAUGUUAAUUUUUUUUAAUGUGCAAAGGUGAAAAAAAAAAAAAAGUCGAAGAAGAAGGAGAAAGGAGAGAAAUAGGCCAGAGGAUUGUACAUGACUUUACUGAAAUUCUUCUUUUUGGGAUACUCUUCCUCACCAAUUGAUAAUAUUACUAGUAAUAGCUAUUAUAUUAAAUCUUACUAUUUUAUUUUGCAAAUGAAUAAAUAAAUAAAUAACCUCAUAGACUUGUUCCUGAACAAUGGGUAAGGCAGCAUUCUGGAAAGCCCUCAGAAGGGUCAGAGAGAACUAGGAUCUCAGCUCAGGCCACUGUAAUUUGAAGCACUUUCUUUUAUAAUAUC